AUUGAACGCUGGCGGCAGGCCUAACACAUGCAAGUCGAGCGGAUGAAGGGAGCUUGCUCCUGGAUUCAGCGGCGGACGGGUGAGUAAUGCCUAGGAAUCUGCCUGGUAGUGGGGGAUAACGUCCGGAAACGGGCGCUAAUACCGCAUACGUCCUGAGGGAGAAAGUGGGGGAUCUUCGGACCUCACGCUAUCAGAUGAGCCUAGGUCGGAUUAGCUAGUUGGUGGGGUAAAGGCCUACCAAGGCGACGAUCCGUAACUGGUCUGAGAGGAUGAUCAGUCACACUGGAACUGAGACACGGUCCAGACUCCUACGGAAGGCAGCAGUGGGGAAUAUUGGACAAUGGGCGAAAGCCUGAUCCAGCCACGCCGCGUGUGUGAAGAAGGUCUUCGGAUUGUAAAGCACUUUAAGUUGGGAGGAAGGGCAGUAAGUUAAUACCUUGCUGUUUUGACGUUACCAACAGAAUAGGCACCGGCUAACUUCGUG
rnacentral:rRNA from 1 species